rnacentral:rRNA from 1 species
UGGGGAAUAUUGCGCAAUGGCCGCAAGGCUGACGCAGCGACGCCGCGUGUGGGAGGAAGCCCUUCGGGGUGUAAACCACUGUCAGGGGGGAAGAAACCCGUCAUCUCGAACAGGGAUGGCGGCUGACGGUACCCCCAAAGGAAGCGCCGGCUAACUCCGUGCCAGCAGCCGCGGUAAGACGGAGGGCGCAAGCGAUGAUCGGAAUUACUGGGCGUAAAGGGCGAGCAGGCGGUCCGUUAAGUCUACUGUGAAAAUCCGGGGCUCAACCCCGGAAAUGCAGUGGAAACUGACAGACUAGAGACCGGUAGAGGCUAGCGGAAGUCCUGGUGUAGCGGUGGAAUGCGUAGAUAUCAGGAAGAACACCGGUGGCGAAGGCGGCUAGCUGGGCCGGAUCUGACGCUCAUCCGCGAAAGCGUGGGGAGCAAACAGGAUUAGAUACCCCCGUAGUCC